UCCAAAUGUCAAAAGUAUCGACUGAGACUAGUGUUGGCCGAUGCUGACUGAUGUCCAGUCUGUGAUGAAUUGAGUGGCAUUCUAGCCUCAUUCUGUAUCCAGUCUCAGAGGAGAGAACAGGAAACUAGGAACAGACAAAUCAUUUAAAAAAUGGAUUACAUCCAGUGGUCAAUAGCAAAUAGAGGCAACUCCCCUAUCAGAAAGACUUCACCCAUGGUACCUAGAAACUGGAAACACCAGCUUGCCUUCAUCCAAGCAGAGUCACUUUGUCACUCAACAGCUAUGAGGACCUGUUAUCUUUUCAUCACCUUGUGGUCCUUAUUUAUACUGCUUGGCUCAGGUUUCUCCACACAAGUUCAUUUUCCUUUAUCGUGUCUUGGCAACAGAGGCCUUUGUCUUCCCUUCAGAUGCCUUGCUCAGUGGCAGGAGAUUGGCUAAUGUUUUCUGCCCACACAGAAAUGUUGCUGAAUGUGGAGGAGGACUGAGCAAAGCCCCGGGCUGAGAAGGCUGUGGAGAAAGAAACAAUUUUCUUAGAAUCUGUGUACAAAUUAUAAACCCAAUUAAACUACUGUGUUAAAUCUGAGAACCUUGA